AAUAAUCUCAAGCAAAAGUACGCGAACGACUUCCAGCGAAAAUUUGCAAAAAAACAGCUGAUCUUUGUUUUGGUUGGUUUUUUAUUUGCUUGCUUGGGAAAACAGCCAUAACAAAUUACCGUGCAGGAAGCAACGAAUGUCAUCCGAGGCGCCAAGUCGCGCAAGGUGCUAGUCCCAGAUGGGAUCUCUACACUAAUGCUUAAGAUUCGGAUAUGCCUGGAGUCGAGUACCUUACAACUGUCCUCAGCCUGUCUGAACACUAUUAUAGUGCCCAAUGUUGGUAUUGUGAUCCCGCUACUGAAACCUGGAAAGGACACUAGAGUGGGAGAAUCGAACAGACCGAUCUCCCUUCUCUCAUCAGUAGCCAAGACGCAUGAGGGAUUACUUCUCCCGAUCCUCUCGUUGGACAAUUUCCAUUCGCCGAGCAACAGCAUGUAUUGCAACGUUCUCAAGUCCCUUGCUGACAAAGAAACCUUGGUCUAACAAUAUAAUGCUUCUAGAUAUUGUGGCUUGACAUAUCGCUACGACCACUGAUGUGAGGAUAAGGGAGCUUUCGAUUUGAUCAUGUAGCGGCUACGGACACUUGAACUGUACCUAAACACCGGCUGCUGCCUUGAAUCUUCAUUAAAACUUUUGUAUUUUCAUGUAACGGCUGCUUUUCAUAAAACAGCUGACCUUUACAAAAUUCUGCUGGCAAAAAAAGUCCCAGUGAAAAUUUUCAAGUUCUCUAUUUUUGAACUGUCAAAAUUUUACCUCUCUGCGCUCUCUUCUGCUGUCAAAUAGAGCAAUCGAACGACUUCCAGUAAAAAUUUGUGCAAAUUUGCAAAUUUUUUUUAGUUCCCGCACAGCUAAAGCUAUGACGAAAUUUUUAACGGAAGUCAUUAAGUCAUAACGCGCAACUGUUUUAAAACAAAAUUUAAUAAAUAUUCCAAAACACUUUUUUGUUACUCGUCCAGGAUCUUCUAAGACUAUUCUGAAUUACUCGUAAGCAAAUCAUAUGGAAGAUUCACGGCAGCUGAUUGUACAUACAGGAUUGACCCGAUGGAAUCCUUCAUCGGCAAGGGCUGCCGCCUCAGUAUAAAACACACUGCUCAACGACAACAUUCGCGGAAUACUCUUCCAGAAGAUUCGUUUUGAGGACAUAACUCCUCACUGUAUGUGCCACUGUAGGUAACUUGUAUCUUAUGCUGAAAAGAGCUACUGCUGUCUUACGCGAAUUUUCGCCUAGACCACUUCCCGAAGUAUAUAUCUACGAGUGCUGGGAAACUAUCCCCUAACGAAGCGGAUCCAGAAUUUGGCGUCGGAUUCGCACUCUACUUACAAAUUCCACGGAAGCCGGUUGUACAUACCGGAUUAAACCGAUAAAUUCCUUCAUCUGCAAGGGCUGCUGCCUCAGUGUAUAACACUGCUACAACAACAACAAAACCCCUUUUUUGAGUCCUGCAUUGGUUUGAUAAAUUUACUUCUGGGUUCAUACGAUUUUGGAGGUGCGUCAACACCUGAGACUUGCUCCCAAGUUCAGAUUCAUACUUAACUCACUAAUAGCUUUUAUUUGAGGAAAUCCGAUUCAGUCACCCAAUAAAGCUAUAUUCAAAAUUUCGGAGCUCUAACCCCUACCAUAAGUUCGUUUUUAUAAAAAGUAAAAAAUUAGUAAAAUCUGUGCUAACUAAAUACGAGGAUGCUAACACAAAGUCUUACCAAUUCAAAACAUUCCUUGACUAUUGAUCCAUGUCCGUAAAAAAUCAGUUGCAAGCUGUAUGAAUUCCACGAAAAUGGGCCAAAAUACCCGCAGAUUACGUCCAGUCUGGCACUUCGUUUUUUGACCGACUUAGAGCAGGUCAUAUCGCAAAAGUGAAUGGAUUUUGGAAUCAUCAAAAAACAUUUUUACACAAAAAAAUGUGACCGUUUGAAUGGGUAAAACUUCGUGUCAGCUAUCCGUUAGAUCUUAAUAUAGCUUUCUACUUGUACUAAA